GGUAGUGGUAGCUCAGUGGUUAAGAUGUUAGACUACUGAUUGGAAGGUCAUUAGUUCAAACCCCAGCACUACCA